rnacentral:rRNA from 1 species
UAGCGGAGCGUGUGGUUUAAUUCGAUACUACACGAAGAACCUUACCAGGGUUUGACAUGCAAGUGGUAGGAAACCGAAAGGUGACCGACCCUUCGGGGAGCUUGCACAGGUGCUGCAUGGCUGUCGUCAGCUCGUGUCGUGAGAUGUUCGGUUAAGUCCGCUAACGAGCGCAACCCUCACUGUGUGUUAUAUGUGUCACACGGGACCGCCGGUCUUAAGCCGGAGGAAGGUGGGGAUGACGUCAAGUCAGCAUGGCCUUUAUAUCCUGGGCUACACACAUGCUACAAUGGCCAACACAAUAGGUCGCUAAGCCGCGAGGUGGAGCCAAUCCAUAAAGUUGGUCUCAGUUCAGAUUGCAGGCUGCAACCCGCCUGCAUGGAGAUGGAGUUGCUAGUAACCGCAUAA